rnacentral:rRNA from 1 species
AGUCGACGAACUUCUUUAUCACCGAGUGCUUGCACUCACCGAUAAAGAGUUGAGUGGCGAACGGGUGAGUAACACGUGGGCAACCUGCCCAAAAGAGGGGGAUAACACUUGGAAACAGGUGCUAAUACCGCAUAACCAUAGUUACCGCAUGGUAACUAUGUAAAAGGUGGCUAUGCUACCGCUUUUGGAUGGGCCCGCGGCGCAUUAGCUAGUUGGUGGGGUAAAGGCUUACCAAGGCAAUGAUGCGUAGCCGAACUGAGAGGUUGAUCGGCCACAUUGGGACUGAGACACGGCCCAAACUCCUACGGGAGGCAGCAGUAGGGAAUCUUCCACAAUGGGCGAAAGCCUGAUGGAGCAACGCCGCGUGGGUGAAGAAGGUCUUCGGAUCGUAAAACCCUGUUGUUAGAGAAGAAAGUGCGUGAGAGUAACUGUUCACGUUUCGACGGUAUCUAACCAGAAAGCCACGGCUAACUACGUGCCAGCAGCCGCGGUAAUACGUAGGUGGCAAGCGUUAUCCGGAUUUAUUGGGCGUAAAGGGAACGCAGGCGGUCUUUUAAGUCUGAUGUGAAAGCCUUCGGCUUAACCGGAGUAGUGCAUUGGAAACUGGGAGACUUGAGUGCAGAAGAGGAGAGUGGAACUCCAUGUGUAGCGGUGAAAUGCGUAGAUAUAUGGAAGAACACCAGUGGCGAAAGCGGCUCUCUGGUCUGUAACUGACGCUGAGGUUCGAAAGCGUGGGUAGCAAACAGGAUUAGAUACCCUGGUAGUCCACGCCGUAAACGAUGAAUGCUAAGUGUUG